GGGGGAGUGCUGUCAUUGUGUCUCUGACCUGUGACAGGAAGUGGUCUUCUGUGUGCUCUUGCCCAAGAACCUUCUUGAUAUGAUGGUUUUUCUGUAUUGAAAGUUAGUUAGCAAAAUUAUGUUUGUCAAGAAGCAGGUUCCCGGUGCCUACCUUAAAAAGAUGAUCUAUCCAGCCCAACUGGGAACUUUCAUUCUGAUACUUUAUACGAACUCUUCAACAUGACUUGCCCGCAUGAUCAUUUUUCUCAGAGCGCUUGAGUAUGAACCUUGACUUUCCCACUUGCUCGCUGGGUGAUUUGGGGAACAUAAUUAACAUCUCUAUAUCUUAGCUUUUUUAAAAAGGUGAUGUCAUAAUAUAACUAUGAUUUUUAAGAUAAAUUGUUCAUAUACAAAUCUUUCAUAUUAAUCUAUUUACAGCAUAUAUAAAUAUUGCUUGGUUUCAAUGGUGCUUGCAUGUAAUUAACAUCCUACAAUUUUAGCUGGCAUAAUUCUUUUGACAAUUAAAAUGUUUGAGCCACAGUAGAAGAACCAUUUGCUCAUUAGUUUGCUAAUCUCUAUGUUGAAAGCUGGCACUGAUUUCUUAUUUACAAAAUAGAAAAGUCAAGAGCAUAGUGUAUAAUUCAGUGGUAGAGUACUUGGCUUGUGUAGAUGAGGACUUUUGAUUGAUCCUCAGCACCAUAAAAAUAAAGAAGUGCUGGAGAGAUAAACCAGUGGUUAAGACUGUUGUUAUAGCAAAGACCCAGGUUUUCUUCCCAAUGCCCACAUAGUGGCUCACAACCAUCUGUAACUCUAAUU
rnacentral:lncRNA from 1 species